UAGGGUGGAUAAAUUUAGGAUUUUGGGUAUCUAGGGAUUUGAAAUGGUAAGAAGAAAAAGAGAGAGUGAGAUCUGGACAGCGUUGUGUAGGCAAAGAGUG